AUUGAACGCUGGCGGCAGGCCUAACACAUGCAAGUCGAACGAUUGGCGGACGGGUGAGUAAUGUCUGGAACACUGCCUGAUGGAGGGGGAUAACUACGGGAAACGGUCGCUAAUACCGCAUACCAUCGGGUGUGCCCGGAUGGGAUUAGCUAGUAGGUGGGGUAAAGGCUCACCUAGGCGACGCUCCCUAGCUGGUCUGAGAGGAUGACCAGCCACACUGGAACUGAGCAACGGCCCAGACUCCAACGGGAGGCAGCAGUGGGGAAUAUUGGACAAUGGGGGCAAUCCUGAGGCAGCCAGGCCGCGUGGAGGAAGAAGGCCUCCGGGUUGUAAAGUACGUUCAGCGGGGAGGCGUUACCCGCAGAAGAAGCACCGGCUAACUCCGUGCCAGCAGCCGCGGUAAUUC
rnacentral:rRNA from 1 species